GACGGAAGGUGCAAGCGUUGCUCGGAAUCACUGGGCGUAAAGGGUGCGUAGGCGGCCGUGCAAGUCUGGCGUGAAAGCCCCGGGCUCAGCCCGGGAAGUGCGCUCGAAACUGCGCGGCUCGAGUGCCGGAGGGGAGAGUGGAAUUCCUGGUGUAGCGGUGAAAUGCGCAGAUGUCAGGAGGAACACCGGUGGCGAAGGCGGGUCUCUGGGCAGUAACUGACGCUGAGGAGCGAAAGCGUGGGGAGCGAACAGG
rnacentral:rRNA from 1 species